rnacentral:rRNA from 1 species
GACGAACGCUGGCGGCGUGCUUAACACAUGCAAGUCGAACGGAAAGGCCCUGCUUGCAGGGUGCUCGAGUGGCGAACGGGUGAGUAACACGUGGGUGAUCUGCCCCUUACUUUGGGAUAAGCCUGGGAAACUGGGUCUAAUACUGGAUAGGACCAUGCGGUAGGGGGUGUGGUGGAAAGAUUAGUUUCGGUAAGGGAUGAGCUCGCGGCCUAUCAGCUUGUUGGUGGGGUAAUGGCCUACCAAGGCGUCGACGGGUAGCCGGCCUGAGAGGGUGGACGGCCACAUUGGGACUGAGAUACGGCCCAGACUCCUACGGGAGGCAGCAGUGGGGAAUAUUGCACAAUGGGCGCAAGCCUGAUGCAGCGACGCCGCGUGGGGGAUGACGGCCUUCGGGUUGUAAACUCCUUUCAGCCAUGACGAAGCCCUUGUGGUGACGGUAGUGGUAGAAGAAGCACCGGCUAACUACGUG